rnacentral:rRNA from 1 species
AUUGAACGCUGGCGGCAGGCCUAACACAUGCAAGUCGAGCGAGCGGCGGACGGGUGAGUAAUGUAUGGGGACUGCCCGUUAGGGGGGGGGAACGACUGGAAACGGUAGCUCAUACCGCAUACUAUAGGAGUAUGCAUAUGGGAUUAGCUAGUAGGUGAGGUAAUGGCUCACCUGGGCGACGAUCCCUAGCUGGUCUGAGAGGAUGAUCAGCCACACUGGAACUGAGACACGGCCCAGACUCCUACGGAGGCAGCAGUGGGGAAUAUUGCACAAUGGGCGCAAGCCUGAUGCAGCCAUGCCGCGUGUGUGAAGAAGGCCCUAGGGUUGUAAAGUACUUUCAGUCGGGAGGCGUUACCGACAGAAGAAGCACCGGCUAACUCCGUGCCAGCAGCCGCGGUAAUUC